rnacentral:pre_miRNA from 1 species
CUUGUACUCCCUCCGUCCGAAAAUACUUGUCAUUGAAAUGGAUGUAUCUGGAUGUAUUUUAGUUCUAGACACAUCCAUUUUGAUGACAAGUAAUUCCGGACGGAGGGAGUACUUG